GUGCGAAGAUUAAGCCAAAAAAGGUAAAACAAUGAUAUCGGACGAUUUUGAAGUUGGAGGAGAAAAUUAGAUUAAAUUUUUUGCCCUGCCGUGGUGUUUCUGCCUACGUCACGGGUGAACUUUCAACGUAAUGCGUGGUGCAUCGCAGAGCUAGUGCAAGACAAGAGGUUAAAAAGGUUAAAAAGUAUUUACAUUUUUAUUUUUUAAAUGACAGUACGUUUCGCUAGAUAAGACCCUUAUUCCUCGUCUGGGAUCAUGUAGAGCUCUUUGAAGCUGCACUGAAACUGACAUUUGGACCUUCAACCCAAUAAACCCCGACUGAAGUCCACUAUAUGGAGAAAAAUCCGGGAAUGUUUUCCUCAAAAACCUUUACUUCUUUUCGACUGAAGAAAGAAGGACAUGAAUAUCUUGGAUGACAAGGGGAAGAAAGAAACUCAUACAGGUUCAGAACAACCUGAGGAGUCAGAGAGAGGAAAUGCAGAAAAGAGGGAUGAUGAGUACAAGAGAACAUCAGAGGGUUGAGGGAGGAAAUCCCACAGCAACCUGACCUCCAUUUGAGCCAACAUUACACAUGAGUUCACCUACUGUCUCUCUUUCCCUUUCUCUCUCUCUCUCUCUGGGUGUGGUAUGUACAUCAAAAGCUCCAUGUCUCUAUAGACUAUUCCCAUUUAGGACAUUUUGGCAAAAACAAGCAAGGUGGCACCGGCCACUAAAACACAGACAAUUUUUGAAACGAACAUCUAAACAAAGCACACAAUUAUAUGUCUCCCAUAUAAACACGCACAAAACCGAGCAAGUGCAUUCCCACAGUCUCGCGAAGCAGCAGAGAUAGAGGUUUCUUAAAGUGCUGCAUUCCUCUGCACUCAUCCACAGUAGAGGAAACAGAGCCCUCUCUAUCAUCUCCUCAUUCAGAAAGCUCAUGGUCUGCAUGUGAUUUCAAUAUGGACACAGUCAACUGAGGGUCUGUUCACAUUCAUGCUAAUGUGAGAGCGGCUGUUGAAACGUUUCAGCGGGAAAUUAAACAAAUCUUUUGGAAUUUUUGUGAAGUUCUUAAAUUUGUAUCAGAGAGAUCAACAAGACAAACAAAAUAAAUGUGUUAUUUUGGUAAAGGAAAACACAUGCACAGAUUUGUUUUGGAUAAAAGAAAACAUUAUUUAAAAAAUAAAUGGGUUAAUAAAAAUAAAUGAAUAAAUGAAUAAAUAAAAUGAACGUGAAUACAAAAAAAUAAAUAUUUAAUUGUCUUGUUUUAAGAUUUCUUAGUCUUUUUCCUGGAGGACAUGGCAAAAAUUAUAUAUAUUUUUAAUAUGCUAUAUUGGUAGAGAAACACCCUCAUGUUUGUCUUGGGUAUUUUAUGGUUAAAACAAUGGGAAAAAAUAACAGUGGGGUAAGAAUAAUAUAAUAUAAUAUAAUAUAAUAUAAUAUAAUAUAAUAUAAUAACAGUGGGGUACAAAAAACUAAUAAUAAAAAUAAUAAUGAAAAAUAAACAAAAUUUAUAAUAUAAUAUAAUAUAAUAAUAACAGUGGGGUACAAAAAACUAAUAAUAAAAAUAUUAAUGAAAAAUAAACAAAAUUUAUAA